rnacentral:lncRNA from 1 species
GCUUAAGCAGUUUUCAUAUUUGUAUUAUAAGAGUAGUAAUGUGAGGAAAAAUUCAAAAUGCAUCGUUCCACUUUGCAAAACGGGGUCCAGGUCAUCAAGUGAUAGUAUCACUUAUAAAGGCGCUCCGACGAUUAACUUUAGUUUAAAUAAAGCCUCUGAUUUAACCUUUGAAAUCUAUAAAGAAGGGAAGCUUCAAUCCUCCUCUAUUAUCAGUCAUUUAUUAGCUUCUAAUAGUAUUUGUACCUGUUCUGAGGUUGUAAACAUUUUAGCAACUCUCAAGAGUCUUCCAAAAACUUCAGACUUCCAACACAUUGGAGGGAAUAAAAAAUAUAUACAGGCAAUUUUGAAUGUUCUUCCAGAUAUUGAAGAUAAGACUUCAAAACCAAUAAAGUUUUUGAUAGAGCAGUCUUUAAAUAUAUUGACUCCUAUGAAAGGACGACGCUAUUCACCUAUUACGUUGACAGUAGCUUCUGUGUGGGAAAACAUUUCUCCUGCAUUGUACAAAUACAUAGCCCAAGAAGGACUCAUCGCAUUACCAACUACGCGUUAUAUAAAGAUCUGUCGUCAUAUUUAAACGUGAAAAUGGGAACGGAGUCUGAAUCGUACAAAUAUCUGCAAAUUAGGUUCACAUCAUUAAAAUGGAACGAUAAAAAAGUGUCCAUUCUCAUAGAUGAAGGUUAUGUAAUGCAGCAAAUUGAAUACUCUAAAGGCAGAAUCACGGGUUUGGAAAAUAUGGAGCCUGCAAAAACAUUACUGUGCUUCCUCAUCAAUUGCAUUUCUGGCCAUUAUAAGGGCACUGCUGCUAUUAUUCCUGUUUCUCAGAUAUCCUCUGAGCUAAUACAGACAUCAUUCUACUCAGUUCUUAAGAUGGUAUCGACGAUAGGGUUUGACUUUGUCUCAGUUAUAACAGAUGGACAUUUCUGCAACAAAUUUUUUUAGAACUAUGUCGAAAAUCCAUAUUCCAAUGGGAAUAGAAUAUACUUUUUGUUCGAUAUGGUUCACAUUUUUAAGAAUAUUUAUAACGAUUGGCUCAUUUGGAAUUUUUUUUGAAUGUUUAAUGGAGUUGCAAUGUCAGCGAAUUUUAAUCACAUCCGUGAGUUAUAUGAAAAAGAAAGACUUCUACCGGUCAGAUAUGCUCCCAAAUUAACGGAUAACGUCAUUCAUCCAAGGACUAUUGAGCGAACUUGUGUUAAACUAGCAGAUAGUUGUUUCCAUGACUCAACAAUAUCCGGACUAAGAACAUUUGCAGAGACUAACCCAAUGUGGGAGGUAACUUCUAACUUUUUAUCCCUAGUCAAAGAAUUCUGGUGUAGGAUUAAUGAAAAAAAUGUAUUUGAAGCUGUCCGCUUUAGGGACUGCAGUAAUCUCUAAAAAAUUUGACACUCUACUUUUCUUAAAAAAAUUUUAUAAAUGGAUUUAAGAUUGGGAAAACUCAGGAAAUUGUGGCUUUAGAACUUAAAGGACUGGAUUAUGUUCUAUUAGGGAAAAUUAAUUCUGAUCCUAUCGAAGCUCGUUUUUCAAAAUAUCGCCAACUUAGAGCAGGGGUUCCCAAACUUUUCAGCCUGCGACCCCCAAAAUAACGGUGCCAGAGACUGGCGACCCCCAACAACACUGGAGGUGGAUUAUAAUGUUGCGCACAGCCACGCGCACAUGCACUAUGCGUGCGUGCUUGUGCGUGUCUGUUCUCCCAGACAGCGCGCACACACACAGGCCACGGGGCCCCGCUCACUCGACCAGAGAGACGCACACAGUGAGAUCAGAGCUCGUUCACGUGAAGCAGCCGAUCAGUGACUGACUGCUUCUUAACAGUUGAAACAGUGAAAACACAGAGUCUCUCUGGUCACAGCUGCUCAGAGAUCAGCGCCGCAGCUUCUUGAACAGAGCAGAAGCUACUGGUGGUUUGUACCGAGUUUCUGUGUCCGCCUCCAGUCCGACCUGCUCUCACGUUUAGUUUUAAUAUUUCGUCAACUAAAAUAUAUCUUUUUAAGCUAUUAGGCUGCAGCUAUAUAAUAUUAUUUAUUUCAAAAUAGAGUGCUUCUUAUUUUA